AUGGCUGACAAACAGAACAACAAGGGGAAGGAGAAGAUGCGCUGCUCGGACUCGCUGUCCGACGAUUCAGAUUCAGUACGGCCCUGCAAGAGGCCCCGGCGGCCGGCUCCAGAGACCACCCCGGAGCAGCCGAGCGCACAAGGUUCCCUGAAAAUCAGGGAUCGUAAGGGAUGGCAGCAUGGUAUCAUCAUCGACGGAAACAGAAACUGGAAGUGCAAGUACUGCCCCAUGGUUGGGCGCAGCGGCGGCGUCACCAGCCUCAAGCAUCAUGUUGCUGGUGGCAGCACCAGGGUAAGGGCCUGCCCAUCUGCUCCUAAACAUGUCUCCAAGGAGGUGAAACGUUGGUUGGACAGUAGAAGGCGGAAACCAAAGUGGACUGCACGAAAAGGGACUGUUGUGCAGCCGGCAAUGGCCACAACCACUGACCCCAAGAACCCUGUACCCAGCAAUUCGACACAAGGUUCUGAUGAAAACAGUGCAUUCCCCUCCCCAGCAUCAUUCAUGACACCUCUUGUGGACAUGAUGCUUGCUGCCGCGGAGGUGCUGAGGGCGGAGGAGGAGCAGGCCAAGGACUCUGAAAAGAAGCCAUGA
rnacentral:rRNA from 1 species